AACGAACGCUGGCGGCGUGCCUAACACAUGCAAGUCGAACGAGAAAGGGGCUUCGGCUCCGAGUAAAGUGGCGCACGGGUGAGUAACACGUGGGUAACCUGCCUCUAAGAUUGGGAUAACUCGUCGAAAGAUGAGCUAAUACCGAAUAAGACCACAGUUCCCGCGGGAACAGGGGUCAAAGGUAGCCUCUGCUUGCAAGCUAUCACUUAGAGAUGGGCCUGCGCACCAUUAGCUAGUUGGUAGGGUAACGGCCUACCAAGGCAAAGAUGGUUAGCUGGUCUGAGAGGAUGAUCAGCCACACUGGAAAUGAGACACGGGCCAGACUCCUACGGGGGGCAGCAGUGGGGAAUAUUGCGCAAUGGGCGAAAGCUUGACGCAGCAACGCCGCGUGAGGGAUGAAGGCCUUCGGGUCGUAAAGCUCUGUCGGGAGGAACGAAUGGUCCUGAGGUUAACAGCCUCGGGAGGUGACGGUACCUUCAAAGGAAGCACCGGCUAACUCUGUG
rnacentral:rRNA from 1 species